UACGAAGGGAGCUAGCGUUGUUCGGAUUUACUGGGCGUAAAGGGCAUGUAGGCGGUUUUGUAAGAUAGAUGUGAAAGCCCGAGGCUCAACCUCGGAACUGCAUUUAUAACUGCAUGACUAGAGUACUGGAGAGGAAAGUGGAAUACCUAGUGUAGAGGUGAAAUUCGUAGAUAUUAGGUAGAACACCAGUGGCGAAGGCGACUUUCUGGACAGAUACUGACGCUGAGGUGCGAAAGCGUGGGGAGCGAACAGG
rnacentral:rRNA from 1 species